rnacentral:rRNA from 1 species
GAUGAACGCUGGCGGCGUGCCUAAUACAUGCAAGUCGAACGAAACUUCUUUAUCACCGAGUGCUUGCACUCACCGAUAAAGAGUUGAGUGGCGAACGGGUGAGUAACACGUGGGCAACCUGCCCAAAAGAGGGGGAUAACACUUGGAAACAGGUGCUAAUACCGCAUAACCAUAGUUACCGCAUGGUAACUAUGUAAAAGGUGGCUAUACUACCGCUUUUGGAUGGGCCCGCGGCGCAUUAGCUAGUUGGUAGGGUAAAGGCUUACCAAGGCAAUGAUGCGUAGCCGAAUUGAGAGGUUGAUCGGCCACAUUGGGACUGAGACACGGCCCAAACUCCUACGGGAGGCAGCAGUAGGGAAUCUUCCACAAUGGGCGAAAGCCUGAUGUAGCAACGCCGCGUGGGUGAAGAAGGUCUUCGGAUCGUAAAACCCUGUUGUUAGAGAAGAAAGUGCGUGAGAGUAACUGUUCACGUUUCGACGGUAUCUAACCAGAAAGCCACUGCUAACUACGUG